CCUACGGGUGGCAGCAGUGGGGAAUAUUGGACAAUGGGGGGAACCCUGAUCCAGCCAUGCCGCGUGUGUGAAGAAGGCCCUCGGGUUGUAAAGCACUUUCAGGGAGGAAGAACGCCUGGUGGUUAAUACCCAUCAGGAAAGACAUCACUCACAGAAGAAGCACCGGCUAACUCCGUGCCAGCAGCCGCGGUAAUACGGAGGGUGCGAGCGUUAAUCGGAAUUACUGGGCGUAAAGCGCGCGUAGGUGGCUUGAUAAGCCGGUUGUGAAAGCCCCGGGCUCAACCUGGGAACGGCAUCCGGAACUGUCAAGCUAGAGUGCAGGAGAGGAAGGUAGAAUUCCCGGUGUAGCGGUGAAAUGCGUAGAGAUCGGGAGGAAUACCAGUGGCGAAGGCGGCCUUCUGGACUGACACUGACACUGAGGUGCGAAAGCGUGGGUAGCAAACAGGAUUAGAUACCCGAGUAGUC
rnacentral:rRNA from 1 species